rfam:Danio rerio chromosome 25 genomic contig CTG2378, GRCz11 reference primary assembly.
CCAAAGGCUCUUUUAAGAGCCACACAAAUGUAUCAUAAAAGUCCAAU